rnacentral:rRNA from 1 species
UACGUAGGGGGCUAGCGUUGUCCGGAAUCAUUGGGCGUAAAGAGCGUGUAGGCGGCUUGGUAAGUCCGCUGUGAAAGUCCAGGGCUCAACCCUGGAAAGCCAGUGGAUACUGUCAAGCUAGAGUCCGGAAGAGGCGAGUGGAAUUCCUGGUGUAGCGGUGAAAUGCGCAGAUAUCAGGAGGAACACCAAUGGCGAAGGCAGCUCGCUGGGACGGUACUGACGCUGAGACGCGAAAGCGUGGGGAGCGAACAGG